AUUUUUUUGGAAUAAUUAAAAGUGAUUUCUGCUCAAUGUAUAAUAAAUGGCCGCGGUAUUUUGACUGUGCAAAGGUAGCAUAAUAAUUAGUCUUGUAAUUGAAGACUGGAAUGAAAGGAUAAACUAGAAAAUCUUUUUUUUAAUUAUUUAUUUUGAACUUUACUUUUUAGUAAAAAGGCUAAAAUAUAUCUUUUAGACAAGAAGACCCUAUAAAACUUUACAUAAAAUAAUUUAAUAAAUUAAAAAUAUGUUUUGCUGGGGCGGUAAAAGGAUAAAACAUCUUAAAAUUAUUUAAAAUAAUAAAAUUAUAAUACCCAAAAUUUUUGAAGGUUAAAUAAGCUACUUUAGGGAUAACAGCGUAAUAUAUUUAGAAAGUUCAAAUUGACAAAUAUGUUUGCGACCUCGAUGUUGGAUUAGUCUUCCUUUACUGUGCAAGAGUAGUAAUAGGAGGUCUGUUCGACCUUUAAAAGACUCCA
rnacentral:rRNA from 1 species